AACGUCUUCCCACCUUUUUCUCCCCUCUCCCUCUUCGUCUUCUCCCCUCCUUCUUCCCUACUGCGGUCUUCCCGCAUCCUCUUCUGCCGUCUCCCUACUGUCUUCUUCCCGCACCUUCUUCUCCCCCGCAGUUUUUUUUCCCCUUCCCCACCGUUUUCUUCCCCUCAGUCUCUCCCAUUCCUCGCAGCACGGGUUCCUGUGGCGGCAGCUUUUCCUUCCAUCUCCUUCUCUCCACCCGCUGGCUUCCAGUCUCCACCUUCCCGCCUAUUCCCCCAGCAGCGUCUUCCCGCCGCUCCCUCUUCUCCCCUCCCCCUCCUCACCGUCUUCUCCCGGCCUAUUACCGCCCGCCGUUUUCUUCCUCACCCCGCACCCUUUUCUUCCCACGUCUGCCUUAGUCUUCUUCCCACCCUCUUCUCCUCUCUCAAUCGUCUUCUUUCCCAGCCUCUUAUUCUCCAUUUUCUUGUCGCCUCCAUAUCCCCACCUUUUUCUCGCAGCAGCGUCUUCCUGCCGCGCUUUUCUCUCCCCUCACCAUCUUCUCUUCCUCUUCCCCACCGUCCUCUCCCCACGCUCUCUUCUCCUCUCACUGUCUUCUCCCCGCGCCUUCCCCACAACCGUUUUCUCCCCCGUUUUCUUCCCCUCACACCGUUUUCUUCCCAUGUCCUCCCACCGUCUCGCAGCAGCGUCUGUCAGUCGCAAUCUUCUUCCCACUUUCUCUCCCUCUCCCCAUCGUCUUUUUUCCCCAGCCUCUUAUUCUCCGCCAUCUUCUUCCCCUCCCCACCUUCUCGCAGCAGCGACUUCCUGCCGCGUUUUUCUCUCCCCGCACCCUCUUCUCCCCUCUCCCACUCCCCACCGUCUUCGCCCCCGAUCGUCUUCUUGCCCACCCGCUUCUCGCGCUCUCCAACUGCCUUUCACCUAGAAGCGCUCCACGCGUGCGCGCGCCUGUGUCCCUGCGCCUGGUGUGUCCAUGCGCCAGGCAGCCCCAUAAGCUGGGCCCCUGAGCUCCGCCCCAACAGCCAACAGGGGACCCAGGAGAGUCGCUGCCAGUGCCAUCACGGCUGCCGCCGCCCCCGCCCCCGCCCGCGCCGCUACCUCAGAACUGAACAGUGUUGGCUGCGGGCGAAAGACAGUGGGGCCCAGAAGACUGCGGGGAGAGGGGGAGGAGGGGACGGAGAGGGUGGGAAAGACCUUGGAAAGUGGGAUGGGGAGAAAGAAGGUGGGGAAGAAGACAGUGUGGUAGAGAAGACAGUGGAGGAAAACGGUGAGGAGAGGGAGAAAGGGAGGGUGGAAAAGAAGACGAUGAGGACAAGGCCGGGCGCGGUGGCUCACGCCUGUAAUCCCAGCACUUUGGGAGGCUGAUGCGGGCGGAUCACAAGGUCAGGAGUUCGAGACCUGCCUGACCAACAUGCUGAAACCCAGUCUCUACUAAAAAUACAAAAAUUAGCUGGGCGUGAUGGCGAGCGCCUGUAAUCCCAGCUACUCCAGCGCCUGAGGCAGGAGAAUCGCUUGAACCCCGGAGGCGGAGGUUGCAGUGAGCUGAGAACUCACCAUUGCACUCCAGCCUGGAUGACAGAGAAGGUCGUGGGAACAUACAGAGACCUACAGGGAAGACGGCCAUGGGACAAGGGAGGCAGAGUCUGGAGUUACGCUGCCUACAGUCACGGAAUGCCAAGGACAGCUGGAAACCAUCAGAAGCUAAGAAGGAGAUUUUACCUGAAAGCCUCUCAAAGAAAUCAAUCAUACUCACACCUCCUUUUUGAAUUUCUGGCCUCGUGAAUGGUGAAAAAAUAAAUUUCUGUCAUCUUAAGCCCCACGGUUUGUAGUCAUUUGUUCUGUCAUCUU
rnacentral:lncRNA from 1 species